UACAGAGGAUGCAAACGUUGCUCGGAAUUACUGGGCGUAAAGCGCGCGCAGGUGGUCUCGUAAGUCGGGCGUGAAAUCCCGGGGCUCAACCUCGGAAGUGCGCUCGAUACUGCAAGACUUGAGUACUGGAGAGGAUCGCGGAAUUCCCGGUGUAGAGGUGAAAUUCGUAGAUAUCGGGAGGAACACCAGUGGCGAAGGCGGCGAUCUGGACAGAUACUGACACUGAGGCGCGAAAGCGUGGGAAGCAAACAGGAUUAGAUACCCUGGUAGUCCACGCUGUAAACGAUGACGACUGGGUGUUUCGGGUAUUGACCCCCGAGGUGCCGAAGCCAACGCGUUAAGUCGUCCGCCUGGGAAGUACGGCCGCAAGGCUA
rnacentral:rRNA from 1 species